rnacentral:lncRNA from 1 species
UCUGAAACCUCAAUAUAAUGAAUUAGUUCUAAUACAGGAUAAAUCCCCUAGAAACUAGUAAAUACAGAGCCAUGAGCUCUAAUACAAAAAUACAAGUCUGAAAUGACCUAAUAUAACACUGUAUGAAAUGAAGAUAAUAGUGCAUAAGAGAUGAGACACAAAGACUGCGGGCGAGAAUGCAAAUCUACCUUGUCUCUCGAAACUCAGCUCAACAAGCAACUCCGCUAAUGAUGACUGGUCCCGACACCUGGAUAUGUAGAAUUAAGUGUAGAGUGUAGUAUGAGUACAACCGAAUGAAGGCAGUGACGAGCUCAAAAAUAGUAUUCAAAAUUCCAAUGACAAAUAACAGUAGCAACUCAGAAUAUAUAAAGGGAAACAAUGGAAAGCAAUUAGCUAAAGGAUAUUAUGUUCAGCUUGUUCAAAUUUCAAAAAUUUAGACAUUCUUUCAAGUAUAACAGUUAGAAACCAACACAGAUAGAACAUUUCAUUUACAGUUGGCAUAAGGAAGGUACAUCUUUAUGCCUACAUGUCAAGUAUACAUAUGAAAUCAACAAUAUCAUAGAGGAUCCUUCAUAAUAUUUACACUUAGCAUUGCACGGGUGCCUAACAUAACUGCCCAUCAUCUAGCACGUAUAUAAAAUAUUGUGCCUGUCCUCACUGUUGGCAUGUCAGACUCCAGAGGGGCGGAUCCUGCCGAAGCGCUAAUCAUAAUCAUUUAUCCCAAUAGUGAGGCCUGGUGCACGUGUUGCCCCAAAACAAUAACACUUAGCCCAAUAUGGACUUGGCGUAUCUGUCACCUCAAAAUCAAGACCAAACCGCCCUAUAGACCAAACUCAAUCAUUUGUCGUUCAAUUCUCAGUUAAACACAUCUCACAGUACUCAGAUUAUCAAUGUUACAUAUAAGAGACAUCAAUAAUAUGUGAGGAAUCAAAUAAGAAAUACUGAGACAGUGAUAUCAUACACAGAUAUAACAUCAUGACUGAGAACAUGCAUACAAUAAGGCAAAUAGCUCCGAAAUGGCAAGAAUAGCCAUAUCAAGUCUCAAACAAGUAGCACAUAGCUUAGACAUGAUUUCUAACAUGAAUCAUAGUUCAAAUAAUCAAACAAGUGAGGAACACACAGGGUAUAAUAAGGUAUGAUACCAAAACAAUCCCGGUAAUAGCGUAAGGGCCUGCCCAAACAAUGAACACAUCAUUGCAGGUACACACGCUCAUCGCCUAGCACGUACGACAUCCCAAUAUCUUUCAUAUAACGUAGUUUCAAGGGUUAAAUACCCUCAAAUCCAAGUUUAGAUAUGUUACUUACCUCAAAGCGGGCAAAUAAAUACUCCAAAAAAUCCUUGCCUCGCGAAUCCUUCUUAGAGAGACUCGAAUCUAGCCAAAGAAACUUAAUACCAUCAAUAAUAGCUAUAGGUAACAAUUCCAAAAGAUAAAGCUAAGGUGUUAAUCAAAUAUGCAAAGUCAACCCAAAAAGUCAACCCUGAGCUCACACCUUGGAACCCGACAGACUUCACAAAUUCCGAACACCCAAUCAAUUACAAUUCCAACUAUACCAAAAUCACCCAUUUUUAACCACAAAUCGACCCUCAAAUCAUCACAUCUCUCUCUCCAAUAACAUAGUCCAACAAUCCCCAAAUCCCAUAUAAGAUUCAUGAAAAUAAGUGUAAUAAUUAAUAAGUAAUCAAAUAUCUAACAACAAAAGUGAUUAAUUUUCACUUACCUCCUCAAUUAUGGUGAGAAGUGCUCCAAAAAUUGCCCUUAUCCGAGUUUCAAAUAUCCCAAAAUAAGAAAAACAAAGAAGCCCUUCGAUUUAUAAUUUCUGCCCAGAGAUACCGCAUCUACGGUCCAAGAGGUCGCACCUGCGAUGCCGUACAUGCACACAAACCAUCUCAGGUGCGAAAUAUCAAUAAACUCCUACCAUGUGCACCUGCGGUUCAAAAUUCGCACCCGCGGGACCCCUUCUACGGUCAAAACCUUGCUCCUUCGCACUCGCACCUGCAAAUCCAUUCCGCUUCUGCGACUCCAGUCCAUCCGGUACAUUUUUGCUUCUGUAGAACAUUUCUCGUAGAUGCAGGAUCGCAGAUGCGGAAAAUUCAUCGCAUCUGUGGCCUUCCCAGCUCCGGCCAAAAUGUGCUUCUGCGACCACUGGGCCGCUUCUGCGGCCUCGCACCUACACUAGGCCUGGAGCCAUCAGCAUUACCUCUAAGUGUAAACAUGUUCCGCCAACCAUCCGAAUCACUCGCAAGGGCCCCGGGACAUCAGCCAAACUUACCAGAAGGUCCUUAAACAUGAUACGAACUUACUUGAACCCCCAAAUAUUAUCAAACAACACCAAAAAUUGUGAACCACAUAUCAAUUCAAGCCUAAUGAACUAAUGAACUUCCAGCUUCUAAAACCAAAGUCGAAACAUAUCAAAUCAACUCUGAUUGACCUCAAAUUUCACACAAGUCAUAAAUGACGCAACGGACCUAUUCUAACUUCUGGAACCAAAAUUCAAAUAUGAUAUUAAUAAAGUCAACUCUCUGUCAAACCUCUCCACCUUCCAAACCUUCAACUUUCCAUCUUUUGCCAAAAAGCAUCAGACCAACCUACAGACCUACUAAUCAACAUCCAGACAUACACCUAAGUCCAAAAUCACCAUACAAAACUAUCGAAACCAUCAAAACUCUCUUCUGGAGUCGUCUACACAAAUGUCAAACUCCAGUCAACUCUUACAUCUUAGACCUCCAACCUUGGGACAAAGUGUCCCAAUUCAUCCCGAAACAUCCCCAAAAUCAAACCAACUACCCUAACAAGUCACAAAACCACAAAUGAACAUAGAAAGAUCAAUAAAUAUGGGAACAUGGCUACAAUACACCAAAUGACCGGCCGGAUUGUUACACUCGUGGAUUGAAUUGGCUUAGUUAUCCCAUAUGAUCGGGCUCCCAGCCCGGACCCUGGUCUCUACCUAUACUCCAUCAUUUCUCUAAUUGCCAUUUUUUACCCACGUGGUGACUGCAUGUUGUGAUCCUGAUCAUUCUUCCCUAUUUCUAUUUCCUGCAUGAUCUCGGCUGCAUGGAAAACUACCCUAUCCAACCCUUCUAUAAAAGUAACUGCAUGUUCUAAGUAAGUUGAUUAACUUCAAUUCCCAUGUAUCAUAAUCUUUUACAAUCCCAUUCAAAUUUCAUGCACUAAUGGAGAGUGGAAAGAACUGCCCCUACCAUGUAUAUCUAGGUCCCUGUUAGUAGCAAAUUGUAUGAAGAUGAAAUAUCCAUCACUUGGAACAAUAUAGGGCACUCAACUGGUCCAAUUUGCAAAGCUAGGUAGAUUUCUCUGAUUACAUCUUUCUGUGACACAUCAAAAUCCAUCACCCUCAUGUGGCUUUCUUUUACUUCCCUUAAAUGGAUGCUUAAUUCUUGCGGAGUGGAGAACAUGCAAAUUUUACUCCAAAUCCCCCAUCGACAAGUACUCGAGAUAUAUCUUUGUCUCCAUACUUGAAUGUAAUGUGUAGAGACUUGUUGUGAUCCAUUCCCUCCAUAGAAAGUUCAUCUCUUCGAAAGGAAAUCUUAUUUGCUGCCACCAUCUUCCCAAUGGUUACUGCUAGUGCCUGACUGGUGGUAAUGCCUGGCAUGGUCACCCCACUUAGAAUGUUUACUAGAGCGUCCUUGUGACUGUAAGAACUCAUCAAUAUGUCCAUAAUUGAUAUGUGGAUGGGGGGUGUUUCUUAGCUGCUCUUCUAUAGAGUACUCUUUAAUUGGCAUCUUUCUCUAGAACUCUACGGCCUCUGUGUCAGAUAUGUUUCUCCUCUGAUUUUGUUUUGUAACGUAGAUCGCAAACAUACUUCCAUUCACUCCUAAAUGAAGAGGGGGAUAGGGGUAUUGUGUUGGAUGAUUUGGAGCACUCCAGGAGUCGUCAUGACUUUGGUUUUUUCAUAUCAAAAUAGGUGAGGUCAAGGUGGCUAUGCAUAAGAUGUGCAUGGAAAGAGUGACUAGGCCAGAUGAAAUUCCGAUAGAAUUUUGGAAGAACGUGCGUAGAGCUGGCUUGGAAUGACUCACAAGAUUGUUUAACAACAUAUUUAGGACGGCGGAAAUGUUUUAGGAAUGGAGGUAGAGUAUGAUGAUUCCGGUGUAUAUUAACAAGGGAUAUAUCAAAAAUUGUAACAACUAUAGGGGUAUUAAGAUACUGAUCCACAUUAUGAAAGUUGGGGAGAGAGUGGUUGAAGUGAGGGUGAGGAAGUGCGUGUCUAUUUCCAAAAACCAGUUCGGAUCCGGUACAUUCUACUACCGAAGCCAUUUACCUUGUAAGGACGUUGGUGGAGCAGUAUAGGGAGAGAAAGAGAAACUAACAUAUGAUGUUCAUUGAUAUUGAGAAAUCAUACGACAAAGUUUAGAGGGAGAUCCUAUGAAGGUGUUUGGAGGCUAGGGGUAUUCCGGUGGCUUACACUAGGGUGAUUAAGCACAUGUAUGAUGAAGACAAUACACGAGUGAGGAUAGUGGUGGUUGGGGGGGGUCAGAGCAUUUUUCAGUUGUGAUGGGGUUGCUCCAAGGGUCGACUCUUAGCCUAUUGUUAUUUGCCUGAGCGUUGGACACACUAAUGCACCGCAUUUAAGGGGAGGUACCUUGGUGUAUGUUAUUUCCGGUUGAUAUUAUUUUGAUUGACGAUAUGCGAGGCAGAGUUAACGUAUGGCUGGAGGUUUGGAGACAGACCUAGAAGUCUAAAGGUUUCAAGUUAAGUAAGAGCAAGACUGGGUAUGAUAUACAAAAUAUAGAUGACUCGUCUACAAGCCUCUAAAGAUAACUAAACUAUACCAUGGUCGAGAUGGGGCCUCGACCUACCCAUCAAACCUGUAUAUAUAAAAAAUGGACUCCAAGUUCUAGACCUGAUAACUCCGAGGAAGUGGAGCUUACUAACUAAGAUGAUGUCUGACUCUAUCUACUGGGACGGUCUACCUAGCUGUCUAUCAGGACCUGCAUGCAUGAAAUGCAGUGUCCCUAGUAAAAGGGAUGUUAGUAUGAAAUAAUGUACCGAGUAUGUAAGGCAACAGAAUAACUGAAAGCUGAAACUAAACUAAUAAUAUAAUAACUAAAAGUAACUAGGAGUUAAAGAUAAUCUGAAGAUAUGCUCACCUGCUGAUACUGACUCAACUCUCUCAAUACAAUAAGUAAAAUGGUUGUCCGGCAUUAUAAGGCUCGGUAUAUGUAACUGCUCUGCCGUAGUAGGCUCUCUCAUUGGCGCUCGGCCAUACUAGGCUUUGUAUCUCGGCCAUUCUGGGCUUGCUCAUAGGCACUCGGCCACAGUAGUCUCUGUAUAUAACUCACCAUCUGAUCUGAGGUUGCCCAGUAGGGGCAUGCCUAUUAAUUAUAGCUCGAUGGUGGUGAAAAUACUGUAAUACAGUAUAUAUAUAUAUACACUAUCUGCCCUCUUGGCUGAAAGAAGACAAAACUAAAUUGAGUAUGAAGUCCCGAUAAGAGAGAAUGCUAUAACUUAUGAGACUAGGAAAAUGUUCAUACAUUCAGAAAUAUGAACUUCUUUUAUGUCUCGUUGUCAAACAUAUGUAGUUAUUGGAUCACGUCACAAUGAAGGAAAGGUUUAGCCUUAACAUACCUUAAUUCUGUUGAGUUCUUAAUACCUUCCAAGCGAUUCUUCAAAAAACUCAACUCAAUCUACCAUAGCAUAAGGUGAUUCAAAGCCAAUGCUGAGUAAAGAAUAAGUUCACAACUUAAACUAGUAGCUCGUUUACGUAAAUUUGGGCAGCACCUCCAUUGUAACAAGGCCCUCCUCCAAUACCAUAUAACACAAACACCAAGAAAAAAACAAAAAAUAACAUGUAUGCAUCAUUUUUCAACCUUAUCUCCAUCACAAUAUAUCACAAAACAGCCCACACACCCUAAUCACUUCAUACAUAUAACGAGAACAAAAGUAGUGCCAAAAAACCUAAAAAUGUAACGAUGAAUGACCAGCCCACCAUUGCAUCAUUAUGUGGUGUUUCUCACUCACCUUUUAUCCUUCAAAACUCCAUAAAACAUCAGCGAAAUAGACAACCCAAAAGCAACACGAAACAACCCACAAAAUAGUCCACUACAAGUUGAAUAACUCGAACUCACGACUUCCGAUCACUAUCCCGUGAGUUCUAACUACUAGGAAACGAAGAUGUUAUAUUAACUAUGAAGUACUUUCCAAAACACAAACUACAAAGUAAAAGAGAGGCGAUAUAGCGAUACUUACGUCGUAGGGAUCGUUCUAUUGUUAUCGCUUCAUGAUUUCGUACCCAAGAUGUUAAUAUUCUUGGAAACCAUUGUGGAUAGUUUGAUAAUAAGUUUAGGGGUCUUAUGCUGGUUGUGGUAUGUGGAAAAAUAAAGAAAGAGACGACAUAAGGCCAAUAUAUAUAUAUAUAUAUCCAUUUUUGAAAAGUCAAAGAGGUGCUAGCUUGGCACCCUAUUAUUGGCUCUUUUUCAGGCGCUUAUAUCUUUUUAUCUGGAUGUCGUAUGAACAAAAAGUUAAGAGCAUUAGAAACUACAUUGCAAGAACUUAAAUUUGGUAUAUAAUAUGUCCCAAAAAGAUCUCAUAUAACACACGAAAUGUAUUGUUCAAAAAUCUUUAGUGACAAACCUACUUGUCACCUAUGCAGUAUGUGCAGUCUCACGAACCUGCAAAUAUCUCUCUACUCCUAUGUUGUAUCAAAGAACGCUUUAAUGCGUUAGAAAAUAGACUCGUAUAUUUUCAAUUUAGUAGGUAGAUAAUCCCCUAUUUGCAAUUACAUUGGGAGAAAAGCUCAGUUACAUUUGACCUAAGUUUUAUCAUAUUUAUGAAUGCAACUUGUGAUGAUAUUUGCCAACUUUUGUUCCACGAUUCGCUUUACUUCAUAACAUAACACACGACUGUCAUAAGACAAAAAUAACUCAUACCAUAAUCUCCUUAUCAUUUUGCGCACCCUAAUCUCACCCCAAAAGCAAAUGUUAUAACAUUCCCAACUUGUCGACUUUCGACGAAACUUAUUUUCGUUAAUUGGUUUAGCUUCUAAGCCUUCCAACCCUCUCGGUACUUGCAGUCCAUGAUCUUAAAUAUUUGUAACCUCAAAGAUAACAUGAUUAAUUUACUUUAUGUACUUUCAAGGAUGAUCUCAUUUCUGAGCUUACAUCAAUUAUCUUACGAUGUACUUUUGCGUACGAAAACAUAGGGUGUAACAUCAUUCCCCCAUUUGAAACAUUCUUCUUCGAAUGUUGAGUGAUGUGCUUAUCUCUUAUGAAUAAUUUUAUAUUGUCCUUUCCAUUUAGGCAACUAUUUUGUGAAUAAAGCCAAAGGCCAGGGCGUUCCCCACAUUAGGCCUCUUUCUCACACCACGACCUGUGGUCAGAAUUCUUCUAAUGUCGUAACUAUCGCUACCUUCUUUCAUGUAGCAUGUACGACUUUGUACUUGUAUGUGCGUCUACGCAACUCUUAUAUCCUUUUUCCUCCAGCUUUUAUCCUAUCUCUAGGCUUCACUUUAUGAACAUAUACAGAAUUAUAACAAGCUGUCCCUCUAGGAAUCUAUGUACUUUGUCAAACUUACGACUAUUGCUAUAUCUUUUUUCAUAGCCUCAGUUAUCUAUCCUUAUGGCUUUACUGCAUCUAGUAGGUCAUAAUAUACAAUAACACUUACUUCAGUUUAUUAUUACCGAGGUUUGCUAACCAACUCCAGGUUACUCUCUCAGUGCUUAUCAUAUAAGUAUAAAUCUAACUCCUUUAAUGCUUCCUUAUUACUAUUCAUCUAAAAAAUGACAUCUUAAUCUCCUCUCCUACUUUGGAACUUUUAUCCAACUAUUGUUGAGUCACAUUAAUGUUGAUCUAUAAUCUACCAUUGAUAACUUGAAACUUCUUAUGUAAUACCAUGUCACUCGGUUCCACACCUCAUCGGGGAACAUCUAAAGUUAUUUGCUUGAUCCACUUAGAGACAAUACUCUACUUCAAUAACUGUAUUUCAUAGCAUCCCAACGUGAUUCACCUUAUGGGGAUAUUUUAAUCCUAUACAGUUCAUGAAAUCCCUUUUCUAUGAAUCAUUAACCAAUCAAAGGCCUAAACGCCAUCCUCUUAUCUAUCACAAUAACACCCUUAUUCUACCACUAGGGAAACAUUCCAUCUCGUAUAAAUUCUCCUAGUCAUAAAAUACUCUAUGUUAACUCAUGUUAUACUGAGCUUUUUAUAACUUAUGGAAACCAUCAGCUCUCUUAUUGUGAUGGGUUUAAUCCCAAGGACUUACCUAUUCUCGUCACCUUCUCACUCACCAUUUCUUAUCCUUACUCAUGUCUACCUAAAACCUUGUCGCUUUACCAUACUUUAGCUUUACAUAUAGCUAUUUAUACUACUCACAACCUUCCUUUAACUUGCUAGAACCAUAGAUUUUCUUAUGUUAUUCUGGAACCUAAAGCGAGACAUUAUAUCAUCUCUAACUCUUCUUUACUCUCUAAACUAGAACUCUCUGUAUCUGGAAACCACAGGCGGGAAAAUAUGCCACUAACGAUGCCACUAUCAUUUCUUGAUACUAUAUCAUGACACUUCUAGCCCUCUAUCUGAAGUCUGGACUAUUCACAACCUUCUACACUUGAGUAUCUCGUACCUUCUUUACCUUUACCUUUAUUGCUUUGAAUCUUCUGUUACUUUCAUUACCUCCCUUCCACAUGGGUGGAAUUCACAUCCACAACUUGAAGCUCUACUAUAAUACUUGCACCUCUGGUGCAUAAACAAUUCGGUGGGAGCUCCAUACUGACUUCUUAUGAGGCUAGUACUCUUGUAACUAUUUUUAUUGUAGAGCCGUUAUAGAAUAUGGCUAUUGUGCUAUCUCUUUUGUACCUAUGAUAUUUAGAGUGAUUCUACAAUGUUCUAAAUCACGAUUUCUAUACUCAUCGGGGUCUAAUAAUCAGACUCUUAAUUCACUUAACUGAUGUAACUUUUUAGUUUCCUCUUCUAUCCCAGCCUUUAAGUAGGCUUACUUUAUCUUCUGAUCUGCAGCUCAGGGUAUUAGUUAUUACAUUAUCCCCUUGUGGACGCUAUGGAACAUCCAUGAUAUCACCUUCUAGCAAUUCAAGCUUUUGUCUGUGAUGUGGACUCAAUUCUUUAUUUUAACAUAUGAUGGAGUCUCCUAUAGCUGUAUCAUUGUCAACAUAUAUGCUUCAUGGAUAACACUCUGAAAUCUUAUGUAUGUUUAUAAUGUAUCUAACUUUGGGUGAUAGAUCAAAUAAUUCCUUUCGUGCCUUUUUAGCUUUUGUUAAAAGUAAGAAAUUACCUUUCUUGGUCGUUCUGCCACUUGGUGCAUGAGUACUUGGCUUAUCUUAGUGCCCACAUAUAUUGGAAUUUUAUGCAACUCAUAUGAUCUCAAAUAUUACUUGGGCUUUUACUUCCCGUUCCUUAGUUACGACAGGUGCCACUUUGUUAUGGAGUGAAUAAAAUGUCGUAGUGAGACUGUUGUUAGAAGAUAAUUUCUUCUUUAGGUCACUAUGCUUAGUUUGAAGCCUACUUCCUUAUUUUCUCAGCUAGUCUUUCGUUGUAGCACUUAGGGAAGACUCUUUGACUCUUGUAAACCUAUGAGCUUAUCCCAUCAUAUACCUCACGGAAUUUUUGAUGUUUUUACUCACCCAUAAAUAUUCUAUGUUACAUACCUUCGUGCCUUGUUCUCAUAAGGUUACUUCUGAACUCAAAUUUUUUUAUCUCCCCCGUGGCACUCUCUUUUAUUUUCAUAACACUUUUAUGGAAACUAUAACUACCUCAACUCUUAUCUGAGUAUUUCUCAAGGAUUACAAUGUCAUAUCUAUGAGACUGAAUUCCCUAGGCUGGGGUUCACUAGGUUUAUCUUGCACGACCUGCUGAUUUAUCUGUAUCCUCUUGUCUAGCCAUAACUAGGCUCUUCCUGAAUCAACUACUAACUACUCGUUGGUCCAUUCUCAUAUCUAUAUCUCGCGUUAUCUCUCUUGGGUUGUUUCCUUUGUCUUAACUUACCUCUCGUACUAGCUCCUUAUCUAUCAAGUGUUCAUUCACACUUUGUUAUCAAGAACAUCCUGGGAGGGUGUAAGGCCCUAUAAAAUUCUUCCUAAAAACCGGGAUAUCGUGAUGCCAAGUUAGGAUUAUGUGUUAGAGAUUCAUGUAAUUCUUUGCGGCUUUCUGGAUUGAACUGUGCAUUAAAAAGUUAAAGGAAAAUAUUCACAAAAGAAUGCAUUUCUGCGAUCCAUUAUGCAGCCGCAUAAUCACUCUGCGGACCGCAUAUUGGUCACAGAGUGAGGCAGAAAACUUGGACAAUUUUGAGGCCAGUUAUGCGGCCAAUUAUGCGAUCGCAUAAUCGCUUUGCGGGACGCGUAUUGAUCGCAUAAUCGUCUUGGAAUUUUGCGAAGGGAAGUUCUGCGGUGCAUUAAGCAAUCGCAGAAUAGGUAUGCGGACUACAUACUGGUCGCAGACCUGGGCAUAAACUUCAAGCCCCUAAGGGCUACUUUUGCGGUCACUUUGCGGGCCGCAUAAUAUAAUCCGUAUCGGGGCCCUAGAUUCCUAAUUUUUAAACCCGAUCACUUGUCGUUAUAACUUAUGCAAUGUCUCAUUUUAAGCCUAUUUCGUGGUACUUUUAGAGUUGUCUAAGAGAGAGGAAGUGUCUUUCAUCAUUGAAUUUGCGAACAUUCUGGAACAUUGUAGGAACUAAGGAAAAGCUCAAUUAAGGUAUGUAUGGCUAAACCCUCUUCUUCUUAGAAUCAAACCCCUGGUGUACGUGUAAUUGGUGUAAGUCCCUGAAUUGGUCAUACUAGAAUAGUUGCCCAAAAGUGUUGUGUUGAAAGAUUUAUGUUCAAUGAUUGUUCUAAAUGUUUAUCAUGUCGUCAUGCUAUUUGAGAAUGUGUUUAAAUGUGUAAUAUAUAUGUUGUGAAAGGUCAAGAGUUCAUGUCAAGAGUCAAAUAAAGUUUGCUAUGCUAUUUGUACGAAAAGCCUUUGUAUGAUAAAAAUUUCCAUGCCUUCCCCAUGUUUAUGUGGUGCUUUACAUGGUAAGCCUUAUUGAUGUGGAUGAAAAUGUUAUUUGAAUAUAUAUAAAAAGGGAAACUUGAAUUGUAUGAUAUGGCCAAGUGCCAAUAAGAAUUUAAUAAAUGAGGCCACUCGUGCCAUGUAAUGAAAGAUGGGAAGGACAUAUGAAUUGAGAUGAACGAUUGAAUGGUUGAUGUGUCAACUGAGAUGGCCUAGCCGAUCGGGCCAUAAUCGGACACCAUGCCGCACACAUGGUGGUAAUUGUGCUGGACUGAUUGAUUGAAAUUGCGGAAAUGGUUGAUGUAUCAAAUGAGAUGACCUAGCUGGUCGAGUUAAGAUCGGACUCCAUGUAAGAACAUGGUGGUAUUGUGGAUUGUGGCAAGUGGCACGUGGUACUGAGAUUAUCAAACUUAAAUAAGUUGGAAACUUAACCAGAAAUUGUGUGAUCCUUACUUGAUGUUUUCAUAAGUGUUUGAAGCUCUUAUUGUAUAUUAUGACUGCAUUCCUUCUUUUCAUUAUUCAUUCUAUUAAGAUUGGUGUUUUGUAUUACAUAAUAGUACUAUUCGACAGUACUAACGUCCCUUUUGCCAGGGGCGCUACAUUUUUUAAUGGAUAUAGGUGGUUCCGUAGUAGACAGUGUUGAUUGCAGCUAGUGGCACGUCCUCUUUCUAGCUAACUUGGUGAGCCCCCACAUUAUUUCGGGGACCUAUAUCUUUUGUAUCUUAUGUUCACCUUCUCACCAUAUUUUGAGGUAUAACCUAGGCCUUGUUGCUGACACUUUUGUAGAACUUUCUUUAUAUCUACGUAGAGGCUCUGUAGACAUUUUUGUGGGUUGUGUAUGGGUGUUGGGAAGGUCAAUGAAUUAUGUUAUGCUUUGGAUUUCUGUUCUUUUUAUCGUAAGUGAGUUGGAUAAGAAGUGUCAACAAGCUUGCUCGGCCGGGUUCACUCGGUUGAGCGCCGGUCACGCUCUCCGAGCUUGGGGCGUGAUAGAGGGAAUCCUUACUGGCUCUCCCAACAUCAUGCUUGAAUAAUGUUGUGGAAUCAUUACUGCCUCUCCCGACAUCGUGCUUGAAUAAUGUUCUGGAGUCGUAACAUAUCUAUAGGAUCUGAAUAAAUUCAAUCUCACUCCUUUCGCCUUUUUACCGCAUUCUUCCUUUACUAUUCCAUAGUUACUUGAAUUUAUAUAACUCCGACUUACUACCAUAUCAUACCGUCUUCUCCCUUUUAGGGGAGUACUAGCAUUUAAUGCUAUGAAGAUUUACCUAUAUAUGGUUUACCUCUUCAUCUUUGGCAUGUUUUCUCAUCUUCACUGACUCUUACUCACCUUACCGUAACCCUUCUAUACCAAGGAUAAAUGAAUUUCUUACGUGCGAGUCACCCAGUGUAACUGGCACACUUAGUCCCUUAAGCAUAACUCUGCUCACAUUGCUUGCUUUAGGGAAGCGUUUUCUUGAAUGACCUUUAAAGGUUAUUCUUCCAUUGUCCAUUCUAUUUUUGUCAGAACAUAGUCUCUGAAGAUCUCACAAUGUCGACUAUCAUCAAAUACUCUUAUCCCUAAUUCAUGUUCGAUUUAUCUUGUUUACUAACCUAUGCUGAUUUCAGUUACUUGGGGCGGGGGUCUAACUUAGUCUUCUCGUAAUUAUGUUGGAGUCAACAACUCAUUUUCUUGAAAUAAGGAUAUGACUUCAUGGCUUAUACUCUUUUAUUGUCUCAAGGUUUGUCACCUCUUGUAUUUUCCUUCACUUGACCAUAGACUCUGUCUUCCUACUAUAUUUUCAUUUACCAUUAUCACUCAUUUAUCAUACUUUACGUAUAAUGCUUCAUUUACUUUCUUCUUAUUCUCCUGCUAAUAUUUUUGUCUAUCACAUUAUUAUGAAAAUCACAACAAAACAUUGUUUCACUUUUUUAGCUCACCUAGCUUAUUCCACCAUUAUGGAUUACUCUAACCCAAGAUGGAUCCUAAUAUUCCAUCUUCUCUUAAACUAUAUAUGUUAGCUCCCAUAGGGCAUAAAUGAGAUGAGUAUGGCCAAUUGUACGUACCUUUAUUUCCGUUGAAGGUAACUUAAAGCCUUAUAUUUCUCUACCUGAAUUGAAAAUUUGGAUAAUCUUCAUUAAUUGGGUGCCUCGUACCAUUCUUUACCUUGCUUUUGUUAUCUGUUGAAACUUAUACUUUUACAUUCUAAUACUCCCAUGGCCUGCUAUUCACGGGGUAUAUUAGACAUUCCCGUCUUAGGGUAUUAAGUAGGAAAUCCUCACAUCUAGUAUGCACGACCUAAUAGGGCCUCAAACUGGGCCACAUUGUCAAGAAUUCUCUCUCUACUAGUGCCCUUACCUGUUGCUAUAUUAACCCUCUGGCUAGUUGUAAUUUUUCAAAUUACAAGCAUCUCUAUAAUUAGCAAACAAAAGUCUUGGCUCUAACUCUUAUGACUCGGCUUUAUAGCACGAUGUAGAUUUGAAAAAAGGAUAACAUACUCCUAAAUGCGUUGUGGCUUCUUGUUUAUAUAAUGUGGUGCAUAACACAUCUAUAAACAAGGCUCUACUAGACACGACUUGUAGACUCUAUAGGAUAGAACUGCUCUAAUAACAAGUUUGUCAUGCCCCAAACCCGAAGAGGCGUGGCCGACACCUGGUUCCAUGCUCGACCAGAGCGUACCACUCUAUAACUAUAAACUCUAAAGGGGUAAUCCUCAACUUAGGCUGAUGAAGCCAUAUUCUGAAUUGUCUGAAAAUAAUGCCUCUCUCACCUGUGGAGUAAACAUACCCAAAGGCUGAUACAUAUAAUUGUGUAGGUCGACAAGAUGCCAUGAACAUCUACUGAUAUACAAAAUAUAAAGGACUCAUCUACAAGCCUCUAGAGAUAACUGAACUAUACCAUGGUUUGGACAGGGCCUCGAACUACCCAUCAAAUCUGUAUAUAUAAAAUGUACUCCAAGGUCUAGACCUGGUAACUUCGAGGAAGUGGAGCUUACCAACCAAGCUGAUGUCUAACUCUGUCUACUGCAAAGGUCUAUCAAGCUGUCUAUCAGGACCUGCAGGCAUGAAAUGUAGCGUCCCCAGCAAAAGGGACGUCAGUACGAAAUAAUGUACCGAGUAUGUAAGGCAACAGAAUAACUGAAAGCUGAAACUGAAAUAAUAAUAUAAUAACUAAAAGUAACUGGGAGUCAAAGAUAAUCUGAAGAUAUGCUUACCUACUGAUACUGACUCAACUCUCACAAUACAGUAAGUAAAAUAGCUGUCCGGCCUCAUAAGGCUCGGUAUGUGUAACUGCUCUGCCGUAGUAGGCUUGCUAAUAGGCACUCAGCCAUACUAGGCUAUCUAUCUCGGCCAUUCUAGGCUCGCUGAUAGGCGCUCGACCAUAGUAGACUCGGUAUAUAAUUCCCCAUCUGAUCAGAGGUUGCCGAAUAGGGGCCUACCCAUUUGUUAUAGCUCGAUGGUGGUGAAAAUACUGUAAUACUCUCUCUCUCUAUAUCUAUAUAUAUAUAUAUACACAUACAUACACUAUCUGCUCUCUUGGCUGAAAGAAGACAAAACUAAACUGAAUAUGAAGUCUUGAUAAGGGAGAAUGUUGUAACUUAUGAGACUAGGAAAAUGUACAUAAAUUCAGGAAUAUGAACUUCUUUUUAUGUCUCGUUAUCAAACACAUGUAGUUAUUGGGUCAUGCCAAAAUGGAGGAAAGGUUUAGCCUUAACAUACCUUAACUCUGUUGAGUCUUUGAUACCUUCCAAUUCUUCAAACAACUCAGCUCAAUCUACCACAACAUAAGGAGAUUCAAAAUCAGUGCUGAGUAUAGGCUAAUUUCAUAACUUAAACUAGUAGCUCGUUUACAUAAAUUUGGGCAGCACCUCCCCUGUAACAAGGCCCUCCUCUAAUACAAUAUACCAACAACACCAAGAACAAAAAAAUAACAACAUGUAUGCAGCAUUUUCCAACCUUAUAUCCAUCCCAAUAUAUCACAAAAUAGCCCACACACCCUAAUCACUCCAUACAUAAAACGAUAACAAAAGUAGUGUCAAACAACCUAAAAAUGUAAUGAUGAAUGACAAGCCCACCAUUCUAUCAUUAUUUGGUGUUUCUCCACAUCUUUUAUCCUCCAAAACUCCACAAAACAUCAGCAAAAUAGACAGCCCAAAAGCAACACGAGACAGCCCACAAAAUAGUCCACUACUAGUUAAAUAACUCAAACUCACGGCUUCCGAUCACUGUCCCAUGAGUUAUAACUAUUAGGAAAGUAAUUUAUCAAUCUUACUUGAUACUUAAUAUUUAAAUACAGAAAGUAGACAGUUUCUUAACUAUGAAGUAUGUUUACCACGAAAAUUGUAAUAAUAAUUAGAUUUGAUUUUGUGGUUCUAAAAAUACGUGAUAUGUUUUAAUUCUAGUUGUUAGACAAUUAAUUCUAAGUGAAAGACUUGGAAACUAGAUAAUAGCUUGAAAACAAUGUAAUAAUCAAACCGAAUGACUAAAAACUGGGGCCUCGAGCUGGCGUAUACAGGGCUUCGAGGUCGAGUCGGAUACUCGACUAAGGGCAGUCGGUGGAGGAUUAACAGUUAUAAUAGAUUUGAUGGCGACUCUUUACGAUCAAUGAUGAGCAAUAAAUGAAGAACAACAAAUAGAACACAAUAAAGGUAAACACUAAAUAUAAGUAGUGAAAUCAAGGGGAUAUGUUAAGUUAGAGAGCAGAGAGAAUGUUCUUAUGUAUUCAAUAUUGUGUAUCAGAUGUGUCCACAAAAUGACAAGAAGCCCCUUUAUAUAUAGGGGAGAGGGAAUCCCAACAUAGUACAAAUGCAUUUAUUACAAAGAUAUUGGACUGGUACAGCCAUUUAAUGACAUGAUACAAGUUUGGACCAGCUUAAUAGACUUUGUCAGCCCUAGUCACAUGCCUUAGGAACCUCACAUCGAUCCACUGUAGCCGCUGAUUUACACUGCAUCGAAGCCGAUCGUUGUUUACGCUACCUCGAAGUCUAUCACUGAGAACCCUCGGGGUCGGAGCCCUGACUGAACUUCGAGCCUUCUAGGGGUAGUCUCUAUAAGGCACCUUGAUGAUCGUAACAUUGAACUGCUGAUAUUUACCGUAUACAGAUAGUCAUCGUGUUUCCUAGAAUAAAAUGAUAGGAAACAGUUUUGAACUCCUACUCCUUAGGAACAAUCAUCAUGACGUCGGCUUAUCAGAGCAUUAAAUGCCAUAACUCAAAAAGCCGUGCACAUGUCGCUGUCAACAGGACUAUUGAGAAGUCCAUGAACCGCUAUUGGUUCAUCUUUUCCGCUGCCCCAUAUGUCUUCUAUAAAUACCUCAAUCGUUUAAUGAUUCACACUUUUAUAACAUCUUCAAGCUUUCAGAGCCAAGGCCAUCCCCUUUCACGUUCUUCCUUCUUCCGUUCUUGGUUUCUUACUUACUUUCUCAGAAAGGCCUUUCCAUCACCAUGGCUAGAACCUCUAAAAUAGUGCCUCGAAAAGAGGAUACCACAUUUUCGUCUCGAACAUCCAACGGCAAACCCAAAGUGACACCCACUAUUGUACAGUGUACCCCUACCGAGUUUGAUACUGUGAAUGAUUUUUCUAUCAAGACACCCUUAUCUAUGUCGGGCCGAUGCGAACAUGUGUCCUGGUAUAUCGGCGUCCUGACUAAUAUACAAAAAGUGAGGGACGACUGUCGAUGGGAGAGGACAAUGCUGGUUGAGAUUCCUAGCUCUAAAGAGAGCAUAAUAGAUCAUAAGGCUGGCUUUCUUCAUGUAUAUACAUACCCAUUCACUUUGGGCCCCGUUGAUUCUUCAGAUCCUUCUUCUCCGGCGAUAGAUCCGGUUAUUCUCGACUUCUUCCAUAAGUAUAAAGUGACGCUUGGCCAAAUUUAUCCAUCUUUCAGGAUGAUAGUCUAUAUGCUACGAUAUUUUUCCAGUAAGGUCGUGGUCAUGACUUUCACCCUUGACUACUUGAUUAGACUAUAUAGCCCUUAUCUCUUUCGAGGUCUGAUCAAGCUUCACCCUCGAUCCACGAUGCCGUUUUUCUCGAGCAUUGAUGAGAACAAGUAUCGAGGAUGGAUGAGUAGGUUUGUUCAAGUGAGGACCUCAGACAUCAUCCCGGCCAAAAGGAUGCCAUUCCUGGAGGAGUGGAAUAUGAAGCGUAAGUACUUCUCCUUCGAACAUGCUUUAAUGUCUUCUUACCUUCUUCUCAAAAAAUGAUCUUCCCUUUGUUUAUGCAGCUACCAUUUGGUAUCCUGAAGUGUUCCAGGACCUAUCGUGAUGGAUUAGGCAAUUGGAUACUUCGUUCCCUUAUCUUGAGUGGUCUUGGCCCGACAUGGCUAAAACGUGGUGGCCGGCCAAGAAUCACGGUAAGCCUCUGUUGUUGCCUGUACCAUGUUUCAAUUAUCACUUUCCCAUGGAUAAGCUUUGAUUAUUAUGCUUGCGUAGGUCUUGGUGAUGGAAUGCUGAUGAGACCGCCUCCCAACAGCGAGGAAGGGGCCCCGAAGCCCAAAAAGGGCAAGAAGAGGAAGAAAAAGGCAGCUGCUAAAUCUCUUGUGUCAAAGAAGCCCAAAUAAUGCAGGCCUCGAGCUGCUGUCAAGGUCUCGACUUCUGCUUUUGGAGCAAGUCCCAGUACUGGGGAUGAAGACGACGAUGAUGAUGAGUACCAUUUGGUAUAAAGGACGAGGUCGGGCACGGAUGCCCUGCAGGUGGCUGGGCUGAGUGCCUCUGAAUCGGGAGCGGUCGAGGAAGGAAUGGAUAUGGUCCUCGAGUUCCCAAACGGACGCGGUACAGUCCCUAUCGAGGAACCCGUUGUUGAUGACCCUGAAGGGCCUGGGCCCGGAGCUUCUCAAGGACAGGAUUUCCCUUUAGAGAUAUCGAUAUCCUGGGUGGCCUUAAUUCGGAUCCUCGAUUCUCGCCCAAGGAAUUCAAGGAUGCGCAGGACCCAAGUAUCACCAAUGUGGGGGGCCCUCAUGAGGGAGGAGAUGUGCUUGUAAACUUCUUCGAUGGUGUUAGCGAGGACAUUGAUCUCGAUGCUCCCAAUGCUAUCGAGGAAGCGGAGAAGCUCCAGCAGCAGGUGAUUCCUUUUUUAUGUAUACUUUUGAUGUCUCAAAUAUUUUUCCUCGUUUUAUGACUCUUCUAUUUUUUUGUAGGCUAAGAAGAUGUACAAUCAUGCCUUCUCUAGGCUCCAAGACGAGCUUUCAUGCCGUGGAAAGGAGCUCGAGAAGCUUACCUCGGGACUGAAGGAGUCAGAGGCCUCCUCUGCCCGAACGGUGGAGGAGUUAAGCGAGCUUCGAGAAAAUUUGGAGGGAGUGCUCUGAGAAAGGGCUGGCCUCAUUGAGCAGGUAAUUCGGUAUUCCUUAACUCGUUCAUCAUCCUCACAAUUCGGUGCUUACCGACUUAUCUUUUCCUUUGUAGAUUGGGUAGAAGGAUGCUCUUGCGGUGUGACUUUGGGAAGAAGUUGCUGCUACGAAUGCGGAUAUCCUUGAGCUAAGAAGGCAAAAUAAGGUCAUGACUUCGGAGUUGACAUCGGCCCAAAGACUUCUUCGAAAUGCUCGGGAAGAGGCUGCUUCACUAUCCGCGGCCAAGUCCAAGGCCGAAGAGAAUGCCGCUACAUACCUGAAAGAUGUCACUACUGCGACUAAACUAGCUAGAGAGAUAUCAGAGAAGGCCGAGCAAAAACUGGCUCGGACCAUCGCUUACACUCGUGCAAAGGCAAUGAGGAAGACCCUAGACAAAGUCAGCGCUAAAAGUGUCGAUCUCUCGGCUGAGAUCGAGGAGGCGCAAGAUUUUGAGGAAGAAUUGGCAUUCUCGGCCACUUCGGAUGAGGAUCCCGGAGAUGGUUCAGAGUGCAGUGGUGGUGAAAAGUUGACCUACGUUGUCUUUGUUUAUCUUUUUUCUUUUUGUGUAUGUAUUUCCCGGGGAAAAAGGUCUUGUAAAGAUUCCCCCUAUAAACAUAUUUUGGCAAUUUAAGAAAAUAUGUCUACUUCCAGUCUUGAAUUCGUUAUUUUUCAACGAUCACGCAGAGUUUAGCCUUUGAAUUUUGAUGUCCACUCUUAGGAGUCCAUAUUUGGGGCAAUCGGGACCCUCGAGAUCGGGCACCAUCUCGAGAUUAGGUCGAUAGCUUUUUGGAAUCGAUGCUUAUAAUAAAAAAAAUCCUUGGGGCCUCAACAUCUCCCGGGCGCUGUGUGAUAGAGUCGUUUAUGCGACACAGUCGUGAAGCGGCCGUGGUGGUCCCACCGGUACAUUUCCCAAAAAAGUGGCACAGACAUGGUCAGAACUAAUUGGUCUUCAGGAUAGUCGAACAGUCGCUGCUUACCCCUAUAUAUGCAUUUGCUUGUUUCUUAACUGAGGAUUCCGCUAAUCUGAGUAACUAUUUCUCUUAUAGAACUCUUAUUCUUUGUGCUAGAUGUCUUAUCAUUUCAACUAAAAGGUUUCACCCAAGUCUUCAUCCUCCUCUUCUUCUUUUACCGUAGCCAUGGAUACUACAUUAAAAUCCGUUCAUCAAAGAGAGGAGAGUUCUGCCUCCAUUUCGUGCUCGAUCGGUAGUACACUGCCGAUAUCUGGUGAGCUGACCUCGAGGUUGUUUGUCUUGAGGAGAGACUUUACAUUGGAGAGACCGCCCAAUGUUCAAGGCCAUCGGGGGAAUGAAUUGAGGUUCAUCUCCUCAAUAGGGGUGGAACAUCUCGAGAUGGUUAGGAAGGACUGUGGAUGGGGAGAAGAAGUGGUACUGCAGGUACCUUCCCUGGAGGAUAGAGUUAUGGCUCAUGUCGAGGGUUUUUUGAAUGUAUGUACAUAUCCCUUUACUUUGGGCCCUCUCAAAAAGGUUGUUCUUGAAUUUUGUAGAAGAUACCAGGUUACUUUGGUACAGAUUCACCCGUCGUUCUGGAGGAUAGUGCUAAUGAUAAGAUAUUUUGUAGUUAAGGUCAGACUCGAGUUCACCCUCAGCCAUCUUAUUAGGUUGUAUCGUCCUUUGCAUUAUCGAGGCUUGAUUGCUCUGCAACAUCAAUCCACCCGCCCUUUAUUGCCAGCAAUGAAGAAGAUUGGGAUAGUGGGUGGAUGAGCCAUUUUGUCCGAGUACGGAUUGGCGAUAUUAUCCCUGUAGUGUUUCUUCCAUUUCCUGAGUAAUGGAACCUUACACGUAAGUGGUAUACACGUGUUCUUAUUGCUUCUAUCCAUGGCAGAGGUGGACCCUCUAAAGAUGCUUUCCUUUUCUCUUUUGCAGCGAUCCCGUGAAUGCCACACGAGGUUUCUGACCUGGCUGAUUAGUCUCGGAAACUGACAACUUGCUUGACUUACGACGAGCGUAAGUGGCUAGAUCUGGCCAAAGGUAUAUGGAAGGCGAAAAAUCAUGGUACAUGGAAUGUGGCUUGCUUUAUUUGAAAGGUACUUUCUUUUACGCAUGCUAACCCCGUCACCGCAGGUAUUGGAGAUUUUUCCGAGAUGAGGUCGUGCCCUCUUGGGGAGGAGGAAGAAUCAUCGACUUUUGGGUCGAGGACUGAUAACAAAUGAAAGGAGCCCUCGAAGAACGAGGGUGCUUGUAGCGAGGCAGGCCCUGCUCAAAGGCUUAAAGGAAUUGUAUUUGUUGAGCCCGCGACAUCCGAGGCUUCUCUCCUUGGAAAGGUGGUUCCUCCCUUGCCACCGUCUUCAUUUCCUGCCAAAGGUACUUCGGGGGAUACAUGUGUUUAGCCUUCAUCCUCGCCCCUCAUCGAAGGUAUUUCGAGGGAUGCUCGAGACCAGGGACCACCUAAAUCAAGCGGGGUCUUGAGCGACCAUGUCCCUAUCGAGACCAGUUCAACUGGGGCUAGUAAGACUGGGCCAGUGGAUGCUCGCUCAACCUUUGAGGAGGCUCACAUCUUUGUUCGGUGGUGAGUUUGGUUUGACUUCGUAGAUUUUUGUCAUUUUUGUUUUCUCAUUGAGCUUCUUUUUCAUAGGCCUUUGAUAAGCUCAAGUCCGAGUUGCUUUGCUGUAAAGCUCGAUUGAGGAAAACCUUGGAUGGGGAAAAUCCCUCAGGCUUCUUUGUGACAAAAGGGGGAAAGAACUGAGGCACCUUCAGUACGAGGCGAAUACGAGCUUGAACUAUGAAAGCCACCUUGAGAAAUAGGUAACCUUCGCUCCAAGGGAAUGCAUGCUUCUUUUCCUUUCCCCAGAGAUUAACAUUUUGAUACUUCAGUAGCAGGGCAAGGCGAAAGAUCUGGAAUGCAUUUGCGGAAAGGUUGGCCAGGCCAAGCAUGAGUGUGACGAGCUAAGGGCUCAGACGGACACCCACAUUGCGGCCAAGGAGGAUUCUUUGGCCAAGGCUUCCACCCUCGAAAUGCAACUUCGGAAUGCUCGUGCAAACAGCUCGGUCCGGGCGAGCAUGAUUGCGAGGCUUGUGUCAAACUUCUAAAGAUGAAGGCUGAUGUUGUAGAUGCUCGGGCUGAAGUCGAAGAGAUCCGAACCAAGGCUGAUAAGAAAGUGGCCAUCUUUUUGCAAGACGCUGUCGAUGCUCGAGCUGAGCUGAGAGGGGCUAUCGACCGAGAGAGUAGGAGCAAGGAGUAUGUUAGGUGUAAAUCUCGGAGGGAAACCUCGAGGAGAUCCAUACCAGGGGAUUUGAUUUCUCAGAAGAGAUAAAACAGGUAAAGGCAAACGAAUAUGAUGGUAAGUUCCUUUUGUCCGAUGCCGAAGAUAGCGAGAAAGAAACCGACGGGCCAUAGUCCCCAAGGGGGACAUAGAUUAGGCUUUUCUUUUCUAAUUUUAUGUAUAGUGCUUUUAAUGAGCAUUGCAAAUGGAGCCUUGUAUUUUUUUGCAUAUACAUAUAAAAGGAAACUUUACGGUUUCAUUUUUCCUGCACUUCCCUUUGCUUUGAUGUUUGAUAGUCAUUGGCCAGAUGAACUGGUCUCCGAGUUAAUGAACCCUUACGUUUAUAGUACGGCCCCAGGGCUCGUUUGGCUGAACCGUAGGCUCUUACACGUUUGGUCGGUACGACCUUUUAGUGUAAGCUGGCAUUUAAGCUCUUAUGCUUUUGUUCUUAGGCAUAUUCAGUUAACUGUUUUGGGUUUAGUCUCCGAGUCGGGGUUCGACUCGAGCUCAUUGACCCUUAAGUUUUUGAAUUUAAAGCUGGCCCUUAGGUUCUUAUGCAUCAGGUCGGUACGACCUCUCAUAUGGGCUGGCGGUAGUGGCUCUAUCGCAUUAGGUCGAUGUGACCUUUUAUAUGGGCUGGUGGCAGUGGCUCUUACACGUAGGGUCGGUACGACCUCUUAAUAUGGGCUGGCGACAAUGGCUCUUAUGCGUAGGGGCGUAGGGCCGGUAUGACCUCUUAAUAUGGGCUAUCGACAGUGGCUCUUAUGCGUAGGGUCGGUAUGACCUCUUUAGGAUUUGUUUUCCCUCGUCAAAGAUUUUGACUUUUUUGUGUUCGCCCAACUCUUCGACGGCAUGCUUAGAUCCUUGAUUGUGAGUCGUUAUGUAGCGAUGAACGAGCACCUCGGGAGGUUUUGCUCGGUGGCUGAAUGUUUUGAAGCCUAUAUUUUGGAGAUGACACGGUCGAAGCUCUUUUGCCUAUGUCGAGGGUAGCCUGUUUAGCCGGUUCUUUUCGCAGUAUCUUCGAAGUAUUUGAAGGCGUGUGAUUUUAUAGUGAUGGUCGGGCAUCCCCGAGUCACGUUAGUUUGGCUGGUACAACCUUGUGACCGUAGUCAUUAUGUUUGGCUAGAGCCUUUCAGUCCCCGAGUGAAGUAGUUUUAGCGUCUAUAUCGAGGGUAUGCCUUUUUAGGGGUCUUACAAGUUCGAAUAUAUAGCCUUAUAAUUCCUUUUGUAAGGUCUUAUAAUUUUUACAUGCCUUUGAGGCCUUACAGUUUUGGUUACUGGGUACAAGUAUGGUUCAUGCCUUGCUUGAGGUCUUAUAGUUUUGGUGUUGCCUUAUAGAGGUCUCACGGGGUCGAGGUUGUCUGUAUGGGGUCUUAUGGCCUCGGCAAAGGGAAAGUUUUGUUGGCACUGGAGCCAUUUUUGUAGACUUGACGUUGCCUCAUUGAGGGCAUACGAGUUUAACGCUUCCGACCCGGUGGUCAUAUAGUUUCGAGUGUUUGAUGCCAGUCCCUGAGUGUUCGGGGCGUUCUUGGCUUCUGGAGCCAUUUUUGUAACCUUGACAUUGCCUCAUUGAGGGCUUACUAGUUUGAAGCUUCCGACCUGGUGGUCAUGCGACUUCAAGUUUUUGAUGUCAGUCCCCGAGUGUUCGGGACGCUUUUGGCUCUGGAGCAAUUUUUAUAAAAAAUACUGAACACCUUCGAAAUGCUUUGAUGGAGGGGAAAUCAUUCUUUGAUUUACCUGGUAUAGGUAUACACAUUUUUGCUGUCAAGGGCUCGGUUAUUCUAUAAGGACACGGUUCCUUCAACUAUUUUGCCCGGUACAUCAUUUUCCUAUCGAGACCCUAUUUAUCACAUCCUGGCUUCUCUUAGGAGGUGACCUUCCGUGGGGAUGUCCCCCAGUAGUUGAGGUUCAUUGAAGAGAAGCCAUGAAUACUUGUUGAGUCUUCCUUAGGUAGCAUAUGGAUGUUUCCUCAUUAAAAACCUUGCCGAUAAAACCCUUUUCGGGAUAAAAACCCGGUCGAAGGAAAAGAGUGGAACAUAUGCUUUGAAACCUUAAGGUCUUCAAGCCGGAUAACGCUUCGAGUGUCCUGGUCGGACACCUACAUGAAGGUUAGUGCAAGAUGUAAAUGAAAAAGAGGAAUGGCCAUACCUUAGUGGCGAAAAUGCUUUGAGCCUCGAUAUGCUCCCAACAUUUGCUUAGGGGAUGCGGUACGGUCCUUUGUUCAUUUUAUUUUGGUGUAGCCGAGGAUUGCCUUGUGAGUGCUAUUUUACUAUUUGCUUAUCCUUUGAAUCCUUCGAUAUCGAAGGCAUUGAUGUCGGUGCCACAUAGUGCACCACGAACAUCUCCUUGGCUGCAUGUUGUUCCCCAGAUAUGGUUUUUAUUAUGUCUUUCAUAUGAAAUUUCAUCAUUUGAUGCAGGGUUGAUGGUAUUUCUCUCGUACAGUGUAUCCAUGGCCUCCCGAUUAAAGCGUUGUACCUCAUGUCUCCUUCGAUGACAUGAAAGUUGGAAUUUUGCAUUGUUCCAGCCAUGUUGAUCGGGAGGGUGAUUUCCCUUUUGGUUGUCUCCCUCGCCAUGUUGAAUCCAUUGAGGACUCGAGAGGCGUGCACGAUCUGGUCGAGCAUUUCGAGCUGCUCCAUGACCCUUGACUAGAUAAUGUUGGCCGAGCUACUUGGAUCCACAAGUACACAUUUAAUUUGCAAUGUAUUCACAAGAAAAGAGAUUACCAAUGCGUCAUUAUGAGUUUGAGACAAGGUCUCGAUGUCUUUGUCGCUGAAGGUGAGAGCGUCCUCGGGUAUGUAACCUCGAGUUCACUUUUUUCCUGGUGAUGGAUAUCUUUGUUCUCCUGACCAUGGGUUUUUGUGGAUAAUCGAUGCCUCCUAAUAUCAUGUGGAUGACAUGUUGUGGCUCAUCUGUUUCAUCCUUCUUGGUGGCCUCUCUUUCCCGGAACUGAUUUUUGGCUAGAUCGCUAAGGAAUUCUCGGAGGUGACCUUUGUUGAGCAGUCGGGCUACUUAUUCCCGGAGUUGUCGGUAGUCCUCGGUCCUAUGACCAUAUGUGCCGUGAAAUUCACACACUAAGUUAUGGUUCAUUUGCUACGGAUCCGAUUGUAUAGGCCUUGGCCACCUAGUGUCUUUUAUUUUACUGAUGGCAAACACGAUAUCUGAAAUAUCGAUAUUGAAGUUGUAUUUUGACAAGCGGGGUGCCUCCGUCGGCCUUGUGUGUCUAUCGAACCCAGCUAGUGGAGCUGAUGAUGGAUUAAUAGUGGAGUACCCGAGUCGGAUACUCGGCUAAGGGUAGUUAGUGGAGUAUUAAGAGUUAUGAUGGAUUUGAUGGCGGCUCUUUACGAUCAAUUAUGAGCAAUAAAUGAAGAACAACAAACAAAACACAAUAAAGGUAAACACUAAAAUAAGUAGUGAAAUCAAGGGGAUAUGUUAAGUUAGAGAGAAUAGAGAAUGUUCUUGUGUAUUCAAUAUUGUGUAUCAUAUGUGUCCACAAAAUGACAAGGAGCCCCUAUAUAUAUGGGGGGGGGGGGAUCCCAGCAUAGUACAAAUGCAUUUAUUACAAAGAUAUGGGGUUGGUACAACUAUUUAAUGCAAUGAUAUGGGUUUGGACCAGCCUAAUAGACUUUGCUAGCCCUAGUCACGUGCCUUAGGAACCUCACAUCGAUCCACCGUAGCCACUGAUUUACACUGCCUCGAAGACGAUCGUUGUUUAUGCUACCUCGAAGUCAAUAGCUGAGAACCCUCGAGGGCGAUCACUGGGAACCCUCAGGGUCGGAGCCCUGAGCUGAGCCUCGAGACUUCCGGGGGAAGUCUCUAUGAGGCGCCUUGAUGAUCGUAAAAUCGAACCGCUGAUUUUUACCGUAUACAAAGUACCUUCCAAAACUCACACUAAAAAGAAAAAGAGAGGCGAUAUAUCGAUACUUAUGUCGUAGGGAUUGUUCUAGUGUUAUCACUUCUUGAUUUUGUACUUGGGAUGUUAAUAUUCUUGGAAACCCUUGUGGAGAGCUUGGGGAUAAGCUUUGGGGUAUUAUUCUGGUCGUGGUAUGUGGAAAAAUGAAGAAAGAGACGACAUAAUAUAUAUAUAUAUAUAUAUAUAUAUAUAUAUAUAUAUAUAUAUAUAUACUANNNNNNNNNNNNNNNNNNNNNNNNNAUUAGCUUUUCUUCAGGCACUUAUAUCUUAUUAUCCAGAUGUCGUAUGAACUAACGGUUAAGAGCAUUAGAAACUAAAUUCCAAGACCUUCAAUUUGGUAUAUAAUAUGUCCCAAAAGACCUCAUUUAACAUGCGAAAUAUAUUGCUCAAAAAGCUUUAGUGACACACUUACUUGUCACCCAUGCAGUCUCACAAAACUGCAAAUAUCUCUCUACUCCUAUGUUGUAUCGAUGAACAGUUUAAUGUAUUAGAAAAUAGACUCGUAGAUCUUCAAUUUGAUAGGUAGAUAAUACCCUAAUUCCAAGUAUAUUGGGAGAAAAUCGUAGCUACAUUUAACCUAGUUUUCAGCAUAUUUAUGAAUGUAACUUGUGAUGAUCCUUGCCAACUUUUGUUCCACAUCUCGCUUGACUUCAAAACAUAGCACAUGACUAUCAUAAGACAAAAAUAACUCAUAACAUAACCUCCUUAUCAUUUUUAUUACCCUAGUCUCACCCCAAAAGUACAUGUUAAAAUAUUCCCAACUUGUCGACUUUCUACGAAACUUAUUUUCGUCAAUUGGUUUAGCUUCUUAGCCUUCCAACCCUCUUGGUACUUGCAGUCCAUGAUCUUAAAUAUUUGUAACCUCAAAUUAACAUGAUUAACUUACUUUAUGUACUUUUAAGGAUGUUCUCAUUUCUUAGCUUACAUCAAUUGGCUUACGAUGUACUUUUGCAUAUGAAAACAUGAGGUGUGACACCUUGGGUCUAUUAUUCAAGGAAAUGGGGAGAUUGAUGAGGAUUUUACUCAUCAUAUUUGAGCGGGGUGGAUUAAAUGGAGACUUGCAUUCGGUAUUUUAUGUGAUAAGAAUGUGUCACCUAAACUGAAGGGUAAUUUUUACAGAGUGGUUGUUAGACCUGCCAUGUUGUAUGAAGCAGAGUGUUGGCCACUCAAGAACUCUCAUGUUCAGAAAAUGAAGGUAGCGGAAAUGAGGAUAUUGAGAUAGAUGUGAGGACAUACCAUGAUUGAUAUAGGGACAAGGUAUAAGUAGCCUCGGUAGAGGACAAAAUGCGAGAAGUGAGACUUAGGUGAUUUGGGCAUGUGAAGAGGAGAAACACAGAUGCUCUAGUGAGAAUGUGCAAGAGGUUGGCCUUGGUUGGUCUGAAGAGGGGUAGAGGUAGGAAAAAUAAGUACUUGGGAGAGGUUAUUAGGUAGGACUUGGAGUUGGUUCAGCUCACUGAGUAAAUGACUCUCGAUAGAAAGGUGCGAAGGUCGAGAAUUAGGGUAGAAGGUUAUUAGGUUGUGGAGUCUGUGUAUUCCCCAUACCGGUAGUAGUAGUUAGUCAGCUUUGUGUUUCAGUUAUUGAUAGCCUUGAUUACUAUAUGUUUUCUUAUUAUAUUGCUGUUGAUAAUGCUUGUUCUCUUAUUAACUUCUUGUUUUAUAUUACCUUCAUGUUGGUAUUGCUUGUUGUUACUACUUUUUUUUACUUUCCUUGAGAUGUGGGUCUAUCAUAGACCCUCUACCCUCAAGGUAGGGGUAAGGUCUGCGUACACACUACCCUCCCCAGACCCAUUCGAGGGAUUAUACUAGGUUUUUUAUUGGUGUUAUUGUUGUUCGGAUUUCCUCAGUUUGCUUCCUCUAGAGUGUAGCACCUUUCUAAUAGUAUGGAUGGGUGUUAUAUGCUGGGAUAUAAGUGGGUUGAAUUGGAGGAUGAGUGUUUGUGGGGUAGGGAUUGGCUCGACAAGGAUGAAUUGGUUGAUAAUAGGGGUGAAUUUCUGUCACUUCUUCUUUCUUCUUCUUUCCACUACCGAUGGAUCGGACUGUAUAACGUUGCUAGAAGCUUGUGGCAUGACCAUUGACUAUAUCUUCCAUGACUUAAUACCUUCUUCUAGGAAAUCUCCCAUUUUGACCUGUUCGGGGAACUUUUGGCACAUCAUUCCCUUAAUCUUCUCGAAGUAGAUUCCUUGUUGAGCACAAAUGAAAUACUUGGUCAUCUUGUUUCCACCCAACGAGGGUUAUGCUUUUGUUUAUUCUAACCUCCAACAGCGAGCAUACUCUUGAAACGACUCGGAGGGUUUCUUCGGUAUGUUCACCAAAGUGAAUUUGUUGGGGGUGAUCUCAAUAUUGAAUCUGAAGAUAAAUCUCCGGCCAUGUCUUGCCAUUCUCUCCAGUUUUUGGGGUCAUGCCUAGUGUACCAAGUGAGCUCUUCCCCAGUCAAACUUCUUAUGAACAGUUUCAUGCUUAACUUCUCAUUACUUCCCACUCCUACUAAUUUGUCACAGUAUGCCCUCAAGUGAGUAGGGGAUCACCUAUUCCAUCAAAGAUAUCAAACUUCGGAGGCUUGUACCCGGGUGGCAUAUCAACAUCAGGGUGUAUGCAUAGGUUUUCAUAAUUCAAGCUCUCACUCCCUCAAGCAACUUGCAGGUUCUUCAUCUGCUUCCUUAGUACCCAUAGUUAUUCUGACAUUGAACCAUCCUAUUUAGACUUUGCACUCUAUCUAUUUCAGCAUACUAGUCUAUCUCAUAAGGCAUUCUGACUGUAAGGGCACGGUAAAAGUAUGUUUAGAUGUGGUAUAUAUGGGUGAAACAUAUCGCUUAUGGGUGGCAGUGUGUGCUGCAGGUAUAUAUUGUAUGUUAGUGUUGGUAAAACUGACAUUUUCACAAGGAGGGUUUUGAAUCAAUUUGGCGAUGGUUGGUGGAUUUUGUGGAGUUGAAACAUAGUUGGGAACAUAAGGUGUAUAUACGAGAGGGUUUGGUUGGUUUGCAGGAGUAAUUGGUGGUAUAGAGUAGGAUAUGGCGGUGUUUGUAGUGAUAGUAGUUGAGGUAUUAGUAGGUUGUCGGGUCAAUGGAGGAAAGUGGUCGAUGAUUGAAUCAAAUGAUGGAAAAUAAGGUGAUUAUGGAAGCAUCGUCAUGGUCAGAUGUGCCAACUCCCGGAUUUGUUGUACCGUUUCCCUUAAUGACUCCAUCUCUUGUUCCAUUCGGGCAAUAUGCUCAUCAUUCUGAGUUUCAUCCCUCCCCCUGAUCCUCCUAGGUUGCCUGCUACCAUUAGAUCAUUUUUGGUCGGGUUUUCUAUAGGUUAUACGGUGGCUCGACCAAUUCAUAUUUUAACACAAAUCAACCUCUAGUUAGAGGAUAGAUAAAAUAAUGCGAUAAAGCAAGAAAGCAAAUAAAAGUAGAAGUUAGUUUAGGAAUUGCAUAGAUAUAAUCACAUAGACCAGUUAGUUCACAUAUUCAAAUAAGUGCAUUUCCUAAAAUAUUUAAGGACCUCUCUUUGCUGGAGGUAGGCUAAUAUCACGAGCAUUUGAGAAACAAAUAGAUUUGACAUAUUUGGAUCCAGAGAAAGCUUAAUUUUUAUUGAUGGAGUUUGCUGAUUACAAGUGGGUUACAAGGGAUGCAUUACUGAUACAAAGACGGAGGGGAUAUUGCUAAUGGCUACAAUAUGGUAUUCCAGGGUUUACAAAGGUUGCAUAGGCGUAUAGAAUCUCCCUUGGGGAAUUAAAAGUACAAGAAUAAAAUCAACCAACAACUUAGUAAUCGUCCCCGGAGUCUCCUCCCAAGCUCUCUUCCUCUGGAUCUUCUUUAGGAUCUUCUUCAACCUCCUCCUCAUCCUCAUCAUGGUUGUAAUCUGGCUCUUCUUCUGGAUCCUCCUCUAGUUCUGUCUCGGACUCAAUUUGUAUAUUUUAUACUAUUUGGUUAUCAUCAUUUGGAAAUGGAAGCGUGUGAUCAACUGAUCUCGGGACUACCUAUUGAUGCAUGACAGCAGUUACAAGAUAUUGAGGCAAGAUCUCGUGGUAUAUCUGUAAGGUUGCUGCUGAGUCUUUUAAUCUAGCUAAUCCUUCCCUAUUGGGCUUGGCCAAUUAAUCUCUUUCAUUGAUCCACACAAAAUACUCGGGCGUGCGCCAUGAGUUCUGCCCCAUUCCCAUUGUGAUUAGGUCAUUCCACUUGUUCUGGAGCCUUCUUACCCUUGGGAUUGGAAUCUUCCCAUUAUAGUAAUCCUCAUACAAAGUUGUCCUUUACCAAUGAGGCACAUCUUGAAUCAAAUAAAACUGCCUUAGAACCCUUAGCGGUGCAUACAACUGAAUCCCUUCAGGCCAACCAGCUCGAUGAAGUAUUUCCUUGGGCUUCUCAUAAUCGCUCUACCACUCAAUCUAGAAAGUUUUCAGUUGAUGAAUUCUCCGAUUAGGUGUUUAAAAAGCUCCUGCCACUCUUCUUGGCUAUGUGGUGUAUCCUAAUGCCUCAUCCUAUCAUUGAGACUGCGAAUCAUGUUACUAAUGCCGACAAUGUAGUCAAUGUCUGGCUCCCUUUGGAAGAAAUGCUUUGUAACCCAUAUCUGUAGCAGCAAGUUACAACCUUUAAAGAAAUCAUACCUUCUCAAACAUGAUGAUAGUGCCCUGAACAUUUUUUCCAGUAUCAAAGGAACAAUAGUGACCCAAAGAUUUUCUCAGAAUGUAGCCAAAACCAGGGGAAGUAUGUUGAUAUUGAUCUACCACUUCCUUUGUGGGAAGACCAGAAGUCCCAACAGUGCUAAAGAAAAGGUUAGGGGCAGAAGGCUAUCCCAUGCUUAUUGGUCACACUGAAAUUUCUCAAGAUGCUAAUUAUAGCUCUCGCGAUGCCAAAUUUGUCAAAAAACUGGUCCAGACUCACUCAUCCGUCCUCGACACUUCUCAGUUUCUUGUUGCUCCUUCCAUUCAGUGCAUUGAGGAACCUGUGGUUUGGCAUGAUGACUGACAAUAUAGGCUUCCGUCCGGCGAAUGGUAACUUAGUGAAACUGGUAACUUCCUCAAUUGUUGGUGUCAACUCACAAUCAACAAACUUAAAGACUGUCCUAGCUAGGUCCCAGAACUCUAUUAACAACCUGGUGAGUACCCUAGUAGCUUGAAUGUUCAUUAGUGCAGUCAAUGAUCCUAGAUGCGUCCUAAUUUUGUUUCCAUGCUCUUGUAAGAUAUUCCUCCACCACUGCUUCAAUUUGUGAGGUGCUCCCAUGACCAUGCUGAUGUUUGGGAUGUUGUGGCUGAUUUCCAUCUAAAAAGGGUAAGGGUUUGGUAAGUAUUUUGCUCUAAAUCCUUGGUAUCUUAUCUGGAUUUAUUUGUCAUUCCACAGAAGACAUGUCAUUUGGUUCAUGAACUGUAGAAAUUAUGGUGGAUUUUCUAAUUGUGAGUUGAUACCGAUGAUCCACCCACCUAAGGUUUACACAACAUGACCGAUAAUUGCUAGGAAUAGAGUGUUUCCUAAAUUUUGGAGUUGGACUAGAUAACUGCGACACGAUAUGUCAGUUGGAUUGACAAGGCCGUUCUCUAAAAUUAGAGAGUUCUGAAAUAAGGUUCGGAGAUGUGAAUAUACAACCCUCUCGUGACAUUGUGUGUGAUUGUGUACGGCCAAGACUUGAUAAGAAAAAAUGUGAUGAUAGUGUACAAAGCAAUAACCAGUAAUUAUGAAUCUGUGAUAAGAUCAAGAUAAACAGAUAAACACAUAUUAGCAGGUUAUAAAGUCAUGUAAAGUGUUUGCAAGUAGGAUAAAAUAAGUAAACACAUAUUUUCAUGUUAAACACAAUUAAAACACAAUAUAACAAACAUCCCAAAGUUCAAGUCUGGCCUAAGUCCGCUAAGGUCAGAACCUAAGUGUAAGUCCCAACAGAGUUACCAUAUUGUUGCACCCUAUUUUGUGCAGGUCAAAAUAAAAUACAACUAAUGGUUCUUCUGAAGUUGAUAAAAAGAGUCGACACCUAAUAUUUAAGGUAUAUUAGGGUACCUAUAUGUCUGUGAAAAUUAUUAUCCUAAUGGUCAGCUAACCGGUAAGAUUUGGGUAAGGGUACUAUUAUUUUAAGGGAAAAGGGUUAGACAUCCCUUAAAAUCUACCUAAGAUAGAUCCUUAAACUUAGGCUAGGAUCGGGGAAAAGAAAUGUCUAUAUUCUAGUUGAUUAUUGGUUGAAAUUUAUAAGUGAGACUUCAAAACUUUUAAGUUUUGCUUGAAAGCUCACUUUUUGAGAAAAUGUUGUCUAUAUUAUUUAGGAAUAUACAUAUACACAUAAUAACAAAUAAUAAUAGCUAUCGAUUAAAAUGAGAGGAAGGAAACCUGGACUCUUAAGAUUGGGCUGGCAAGCAAGCCAGGCCUAGUUUGACUAUAGUAGCGGCAGACUCUAACAAGCGGGAAAGUAGCCCAGUUCUGGAUCUUGGGCCUGAGUUCCAGGUAAAACUCAUCAGGCCCAAUCGAACAUGCAUAUAAAAGAGGAAAGAUAAUAAUUAGUGCACAUAAAUAUAGGGUGAAAUAAGAUAAAAACAUAACAUGUAAUAAUAACAAAAGAGCUGAGGAAUGCAGCAAAGUUAUUUUUAUUUGUGCUAACCCUAUGACAGAUUAAUUGAAGUUAGUGACCAAAGGCUUAGGGUAAACUACAUUUAUAAAUGAAGUUCCCUUAUUGACCUAACAUUUCAGGUUUCAGUUAGUCUUAUGGACCCCAGCAGUGGUUGUGCCUGGGAGGGGUACCUUAACCACAAACCAAGCUCACACCCAAAUACCCUUGAUAAUCAACUCCUACUCUUCCUCAAAGGUUUGGAUAAAAACAAAGUGUCAACUUAGUAGUUUCACAUAGCCAACAACAACUAUCACUAGAGUACAAGGCAUAAGCAGCUCAGAACCAACACAACAUUGACUUUAAGACCGUUUAUUAGAACACUGAGUUUAAAGAUAAAUCAUUGCAGGUAGACCUUUAGGGUUCUAAUGAUAUCUAAGACCCCGAGGUUGAUCAUUACAUGUACACGAUACUUAAGAGGAUCGCUACUAAGUUUUAGUCAAACAGAAGUUGUAAAACAUAAAUGGCUGAUUACAUGCUACCAAUAGAUAUGCUCCAUUUACAAUUUUAAUAUCAGGGAUGUCAUGUUAAGCAGUCUAAUGUAUUAGUAGUUGUCAAAGGUGAACAUGAUACUUAUUCUAUUAUCCUCCCUAAAAUUCACUACUUCAAAACCUUAUCUAAGGAUGUUCAGAUUACUUAGAACAAGUUACAAAAUACUGUGACAACUUUCAGAGUAGUUUUAACAAGUAUGCACAUAUCUGAAAUUUUAUUCAUUAAACACUCAUGUUAAUAACUUCACUCAGACUUCCCAAAGAGUACAUCAAUUAACCAUAUCAGUAGAUACAUCAAUAUAAAUGGGAAAACUAGUUUAGUGUUUGUUUAUACCUAAUGGACAUGGUAUCUAGUUGUGAUAAUACAUAGUCUAUCAGGUUUACAAAUUACCAGAAACACACAACACUCAAAUUCAUGAGAGAGUACUUCUAUAUCAGUGAUGUCAUACAAUCAUGAGAUAACAAAUAAUGACACUUAUUAUUAAUUGGUAAGGCUAAAGCAAGAAGAUCACAACAUGUUUUCAUUUUAGAUAUGUGGACAAGUUUACUAAAAAAGUAUGCCAACAAAUUUAGUACAUGAUUUUUAUAUAUGUAGGUUUUCAUGAUAGGCACUUAUAAAUCAUUCUAUCAGAAUAACAUAGUAUCUUGAUCAAGUCUAGAGUUAUUUAGGUAAGCUGAUUAACGUAGGAGCAUGCGCAGAAUCAUCAAUAAGGAUAAGUGAAUAGUCUAGAAUACAUCUCAUGAUCUUAAGGAUUGAGGUAAACAUAAUGGUGCUGGCAUAAGGGUCUUAGCUAGUUAACACAGUUAUUUAAGCAUAAAGUUUUCUCAAGAUAAGGCAUGUAAAGGUUCAUAAACAUAACUUGACUAACAAAGACAAUAUGAUAGACGUAAGCACAAGUAUAUAAGUCAAUAAGUGUCAUUCGAUCAAUACAACAAUACAGGUUUCAUGUAGUUACUACCACUGAGUUCAGACAGUUAUGAGAUGGAAAAUAGUGACCCUCAUUACAUGGUUGACCCCAACAAGUUGCAUCCAGAUAUGUGAGCAGACAAACUAAUAUACCGACAAGGUUCAUCAUAUGAUUUUAUUUAUUUCAAAUCAUAAUAAACACACACAUGAAUUAUUUUAUCACAGUAUUAUAAGCAAGCUGUCAAUUAGAGUAAAACAGAUCACCAUGAGAGUAUGAACAUUGGUGAGAUUCAUUUCAUUAAACUAACACAAUGCUAACACAAUAUCACAAACAUAAUGAUUAAGAUAGCAUAAUGCAGCAGGUAUUAACAUGACACCAAGAGAGGUUCAAAAGCUCGAUUCACUCAACUUAGUUAAUAUGAUGGUAUACAUAUGGAAAUUAAUUAAUUUGCAGGUAUAGAUCACACAUAAUAUCAUUAACACAAGGUUUGAUUCGCUAAUCAUACAGGCUUAACGGAUUUAUCCAUACAAAUAAAAACAUGAAAGAAACAUUUUAACUAGCUAUGUCAUGAGAGGCAAAGUUCAAUAACCAUCACAGAUUGAAUAACAACACAAGACAACAUGACUAUCGGGAGAUGCCACUAAUCUCAAAAGAAUAUGAUGACAUGAAUAGAAGGACAUAAAGAAAGAACCACAUAAUAUCAUGAAUAGCAGGUGAUUAACAUGGAAGUAUCACGAACACAAAACUACAUAACAAAUUUAAGAAAUAAAAGGGAGAGGGUCAGUGUACACUAACCUUCUUUGAAGCAGCAAACCAACUAAGGAGUGUUUAGCGACCAUUUAAGAAUCCAAACUUACAACCAACCCACAACAGUUUGAACUUGAGCAUGAAUGAAAGGAAAGAAAAAUUAGAUAAAUGCUUUUAGGCACUUAAACUUAGCAGAAAGCUCUUAAAUUUUAAUGCUCUUCUUUGUAUUUUCAGUGAAUUCUUUGGUGUGUUCCGGUGUGUUUGGUGAGAACAUUUAAUGUUCUAUUUAUAGUGGCAUCUAAGCCAUUAGGGUUCCGCUCAAAUUCAAGAGAUAAUGGAUGAUUACGAUUGACAGAUAAAGAUAGCAAAAAGGGAGAAAAAAGAAGAAAACAUAGGGGAAAAC